rnacentral:rRNA from 1 species
GACGAACGCUGGCGGCGUGCUUAACACAUGCAAGUCGAACGGUAAGGCCCUUCGGGGUACACGAGUGGCGAACGGGUGAGUAACACGUGGGUGAUCUGCCCUGCACUUCGGGAUAAGCCUGGGAAACUGGGUCUAAUACCGGAUAGGACCACUGCCUGCAUGGGGGGUGGUGGAAAGCUUUUGCGGUGUGGGAUGGGCCCGCGGUCUAUCAGCUUGUUGGUGGGGUAGUGGCCUACCAAGGCGACGACGGGUAGCCGGCCUGAGAGGGAGACCGGCCAGGCUCGGACUGAGGUACGGCCCAGAGCCCGACGGGAGGAAGCAGGGGGGAAUAUGGCACAAUGGGGGCGAGCGUGAUGCAGGGACGCCGCGUGAGGGAUGACGGCCUUCGGGUUGUAAACCUCUUUCAGUAGGGACGAAGCGCAAGUGACGGUACCUACAGAAGAAGGACCGGCCAACUACGUGCCAGCCGCCGCCGUAA